rnacentral:rRNA from 1 species
GAUUGUAGUCUGCAACUCGACUACAUGAAGCUGGAAUCGCUAGUAAUCGUAGAUCAGCAUGCUACGGUGAAUACGUUCCCGGGUCUUGUACACACCGCCCGUCACACCACGAGAGUUUGUAACACCCGAAGCCGGUGGAGUAACCUUUUAGGAGCUAGCCGUCGAAGGUGGGACAAAUGAUUGGGGUGAAGUCGUAACAAGGUAGCCGUAUCGGAAGGUGCGGCUGGAUCACCUCCUUUCUAAGGA